rnacentral:lncRNA from 1 species
ACACGAGAGUCGGCGACCAGCCUCGGCGGUGGGGUUCCUGCAACGCGUGUUCCUGCUGGGGUUCUCCUUUCUGCUGUUCCGAGCUACAGUGCGGAUCAUGCUCCCCAUACGUGGAGUCCAGGGACAGCACAGCCCGGGGACUGCCCAGCCAGCCAGGAAGUCUGGCUUUCAGAGAACUGGGAAGACCAUCUUCCACUUUAUCCCAUCUGGGAGACUGUAAACAUGGAUUCCACUGUCUCGGACAGUGAGACGAUUCCCAGUCUUUUCCUGUUCCUCCUCUAGAUGCUGUCUUGGACGCAGUGAAGUCUGCCGAUGGCUGUUUCAGAGCCGUUAGGAUGGUGAAGUGAGACAAUGUGAAUGGAGUGUUUUGUGAGGCUCAGUGCUGCAUAAAUGCUAGCCAUUAUCUAAUAGCAAGAAUUCCUUGAAAUGUUUCUUUCUCUCAAAUUUAUGAAAAGAUUAGAAAAUAGUUCUAAAAAUUAAAAAUGCUUCUGGUCGGAGCGGCUUACAUGAUGGCAGUGAAAGUGUGCAGCUUCAUGGGUCCCACUGCGUGCACUUGGCAUGGAGAGAACGAAAUGUGGAGGCCAGCGA